UGUAAAUGAAAAAGACUCAGAAAAACUGCUCCAAGGAAUUUAGUAAGAAUUUAGUGAGACAUUAAGAGAUCAGCAGAGUUAAUAAUAAGUGCUCAAUCCAGGUUAAAAAGUAUAAAGUUAACAUUUUAACAUGUUGUUGAGACAUUUUCCAGUAAUGUUCAACAAGCCCUGUGUGGAAGAAAAGGGAACAGAUGGUGGGGCUAACUUCAUAUUGAUAGAGGUGGGCCCUGACGUCAAGUACUAAGCAAUGUCCAAACAUACUGAAGGACUGAUGCAAAGAAUGUGGAGAGACAAGAAAUCACCAUGAGGGAAAAAUUCAAGUCCAGUGGAUCUGAUGAAAAGUGGCCUUUUAAGGAUUAAAAUGUAAGUUCUGGAUCAUUUGUACUCCAGGAGCCCAGCUGAACUUCAGUCACCAAAAUGUGAGACUGAGCAUCUGAGAAUCAUUCUGCUCGACCACAUCUCCUAGCUACUCUACUGCUCUGGUCAUAUCAUGUUCAUGCAUCCUUUACCACUGAAUUCAUAUGUUGGACUCCGAAUCCACAAGAGGAUUGCAUUCAGAUUGGCCUUUGGGAACAAUUAGAUCAUGAGGAAAGAGCCUUCUUAAGUGGGCACAGUGCCCUUACAAAGGCUCCAGAGAACUAGUUGGUCACUUGAACACUGUGAGGACACAAAGAGAAGGUGGCAGUCUGUGAACCAGGAAUGGGUAUUUACCAGACACCAAAUGUGCCAGUGCCUUCAUCUUGAACUUUCCUGCCUCUAAAACUAUAAGCAAUAUAUUUCUGCUGUUUAUAAGCUUCCUGGUUUAUGGUAUGUUGUUAUAGCUAACUAUACAGACUAAGAAAAUGCCUAUUUUGAAUCAGGCAUAGAGUUGCUGCAUUGACUAUAAUAAAGAAUCCUAAAACUAAAUAGAAAAUUA